rnacentral:lncRNA from 1 species
GCUAGGGCUGGGCAUCGGUCGGUUACGGCCGGGUUCGGGCCGUAAAAUCCAAAACCGACAAUAACCAUUGAAGCAAAAAUCUCACCCAUCACCGACCGAUUACUUGUACGGUUUUGUCGGGUGGCGGACAGAUUGGGUGGCGGUUAGACCGGACGGAUUUCGUCGGGUAUGACAAAAUAACUUGGUGUUUUAGAGAGAUCUAUGAAUCAAAAGAAAGAAGAAGAAAUAUUGUAUAUAUAAAUUUUGUGUUGAAUGUUAUACAAAAAUAACAACAUAAGAGAGAAGAAGAACUUUGGGUUUCACAGUUUUAAAGAACAGAUAUAUAAACCAGUGGUGGUUCUCUAGUGAAAGAGACGAAUUUUGAUGGUAUAGGCACAGUACGGAGGAGUUUUCACCGGAAGAGUAGAGAGAGAUCUGGACUUUUGAAAAUGAGAGAUGUUCUUUAGUUUCUUUAGAAUAUAAUAAAAAGAAAGAGAUAUUUAGUAUGUGAAAAUGACGAAAACACAGUGGAGACUGAAGAUGAAUAUCUCCAUUACAAUCUGCAAUGGUUUUAACAAUGGUUGUUGGAGGCAGAUUUGAUGGUGGUUCUAGCUGUGAGAGAGAGAGAAGGUAGUGUUAGAGAAAGAAGAAGGCUAAGUAGUAGUAGUUACAAGUUACUACUACUAAUUAUUACUAUUAAUUUAAUAUGAAAUUGUCAAGAUAGAUGUCAUGUUAAAUCUAUAGGAGAAAGUUUACGUGUCUUGCAACUAAACAAUUGUUAGUGAAAAUUGCUUUUAAAUGGGAAGUGUGCUUUAGUGGGUCUCAAAAAGACAUGACUUAAAGCUCUCAUGGUUCCAAGAAAAAAGCUCUUGUAGUAGUAGUAAGUAGUAGACAUUAUUGUCUUACUACUAGUGUUGCUUUAUUAAAGUUGUGAUUGGACAAACAAUGGUUUCAAAGCACAAGUUUAUACAGUAGGCAAUAAAACAUGUUUUCGGUCGGGCCUGGGUACCUAUGGAU